GUAGCUCGACGCUCUUCUGAAUCUCCUCGUCUUAGUCCACACAAAGAAAUCCACAGGACCACACGGUAAAAGUUUAACGAUUUACUUAUACACAAGAAAAAUUACAACAGUCCACUUUUAAAAAAGGAUGCAGACAGCCAGAGAGAGAAGGUGAGAAUGGUAAAUGAAAUUGUUGUAUUCCAAAUACCAAAACAUAAAUGACUGCAUUUAGACUCCUAAAAACAUACUUAUUUACCUGACCCAUCAGAGACCAGAUCCUGCUGAACCUGAACCUGAACCCAGCUGUGUGUCCAUGAAGUCACCGGUCCAUGGAGACACCACUACUUUAAAAAACAAGGCGACCCGUAAUGGAGCUUAAAAUGAAAUAAGUGUGAAGGAGCAAAUUCGUGAAAUGGAGAGAAGACUGAGGACCCAGCAGAGACCUGAACCUGAACCUGAACCUGAUCAUGAUCCUGAACCUGAACCUGAACCUGAACCUGAACCUGAUCCUGAUCCUGAUAGUUUUUUGGAUUUUAAACGUGUUUCUGACAAAAAGAUCCAGCAGCAGAGACCAGAGUCUCCUGAACCUGAACCUGAUCCUGAUCCUGAUCCCAGCUGUGUGUCCAUGAAGAGCGACCUGUCUAAGGGUUUACCUGUGGCCAUCAAAGAUGAUUGUCACUCUGUUGAUCAAAGGU
rnacentral:lncRNA from 1 species